rnacentral:rRNA from 1 species
GAUCAUGGCACAGAUUGAACGCUGGCGGCAGGCUUAACACAUGCAAGUCGAACGGUAACAUAAAGAAGCUUACUUCUUUGAUGACGAGUGGCGGACGGGUGAGUAAUGCUUGGGAAUCUAGCUUAUGGAGGGGGAUAACUACGGGAAACUGUAGCUAAUACCGCGUAGAAUCGAGAGAUGAAAGUGUGGGACCUUCGGGCCACAUGCCAUAGGAUGAGCCCAAGUGGGAUUAGGUAGUUGGUG